rnacentral:rRNA from 1 species
ACUCCUACGGGAGGCAGCAGUGGGGAAUUUUGGACAAUGGGCGCAAGCCUGAUCCAGCCAUGCCGCGUGAGUGAUGAAGGCCUUAGGGUUGUAAAGCUCUUUUGGCGGGGACGAUAAUGACGGUACCCGCAGAAUAAGCCCCGGCUAACUUCGUGCCAGCAGCCGCGGUAAU